AACGAACGCUGGCGGCAGGCCUAACACAUGCAAGUCGAGCGAGAUCUUCGGGUCUAGCGGCGGACGGGUGAGUAACGCGUGGGAAUAUGCCCUUCUCUGCGGAAUAGCCUCGGGAAACUGAGCGUAAUACCGCAUACGCCCUUUGGGGGAAAGAUUUAUCGGAGAAGGAUUAGCCCGCGUUGGAUUAGGUAGUUGGUGGGGUAACGGCCUACCAAGCCGAUGAUCCAUAGCUGGUUUGAGAGGAUGAUCCGCCACACUGGGACUGAGACACGGCCCAGACUCCUACGGGAGGCAGCAGUGGGGAAUCUUAGACAAUGGGGGCAACCCUGAUCUAGCCAUGCCGCGUGAGUGAUGAAGGCCUUAGGGUUGUAAAGCUCUUUCAGCUGGGAAGAUAAUGACGGUACCAGCAGAAGAAGCCCCGGCUAACUCCGUG
rnacentral:rRNA from 1 species